UACGUAGGGUGCGAGCGUUGUCCGGAAUUAUUGGGCGUAAAGGGCUCGUAGGCGGUUUGUCGCGUCGGGAGUGAAAACCUACAGCUUAACUGUGGGCUUGCUUUCGAUACGGGCAGACUAGAGGUAUGCAGGGGAGAACGGAAUUCCUGGUGUAGCGGUGAAAUGCGCAGAUAUCAGGAGGAACACCGGUGGCGAAGGCGGUUCUCUGGGCAUGAUCUGACGCUGAGGAGCGAAAGUGUGGGGAGCGAGCAGG
rnacentral:rRNA from 1 species